AUGGGAAAGAAACCUGGAAAGGUAGGGAGGUAUGGAUAUGGACAAGCUAUGCCAAGGAGCAGGGCUUUGUCAUGGAGAGUGACUAGGUGCUUUUACAUAGGAAAGUCACCUGAUAAUAUUAAAACCUGUGAAAUAUCACUCUGGUGGAAGUGUGAAUGAAUUUGAAAGGGGUGUAACACUGUUCUACUUUGUUUACUCCUCAGUACCCUUGGCUGUGUACAUUUGAGUAAAGAGAGCACUAUAAAAUCAAAAACCAAUGAAAUGGUUUCCAGAACACAGAACUAUUAAGCUUAAGAAAAGGACAGAAGGAACUGAAGAGAGAGGAACUGUUUUGGAGCAUCACACUUCCACCUCAGAAGAAAUAAGGAAGGAAGGAGGAGGGUGUUCCCACGGCUCUUCAACCAGGCGGGCUCUUCAGCCUACAUCCCCAUCUCAUCAAGUAAAAGGGAUUUUUCAACUGGACCAACCAGAUGGUUUAACAGUGCACUCCCACACCAUUCAACUACGCAAGGGAGAUACACUUAACAUAUGCAGUCGUAUAACACCUACUAACAUUUUCAAACAUUAAACCUUUAAAAAAGAGUUCUAAAGAAAUAGAAGCUUGAAGUAUCAUCUCUCAAGUAUAUAGACACUACUUCAUGGUGUGGUAAUAUAUGCAUAUAGAAGCUAGUAAACACCUCCAGGAGAUGCAAAAGGAAUUAGAACUGCCACAAGGUGCAAGCAAAACCUUGAGGUAAUCAAUCUGCAUCCCAUUUUGGAUGAGAAUAUUUGCAACUUUGAAGGUUAUUUUAAGGACAGCAGCAGAAGAAUUAUGGCAGCUUCUUUAAAAUAUGAAGACUUCAAAGUUAUUUAUCCAAACCAACCUGAUCAUUUCUUAAGAGUGAAUAUACCUUGGAAGAUGUGUCCUGCCUUUAGUAGCGUCACAAUGGAUUACAUCCUCUAUAAAGCAGUCUGGGAUAUUCUGCCCAAUCAGAGGCUAACAUCUGCCACAAGACAAAUAUGGUGCCUGCCCCCAUGGAGCUCAUAUUCGAAUGGAGAAAAUGUCAACAAGUAUCCCACGGAGUGAACACUUCAAAAGGAGAAGCACAGGUGAGAAAAUCGAAUUUGGACACCGUUGAGGAGACUAUUGCAGUCAUCCAAGCUCAAGAUGGUGGAGCUUCAUCCUUGAGAAUAACCAAUGGGGAUAGAUUUAAGAGACACUUAGAGUCUGCAGCCAACAGGGCUGAAUGAGCAGAGAGUUAUGAUUCAGAAGAUCAUCUAAAAUUGAACAGCUGCCACUACUGGCAAUAAGUCUACUGCCAUUUGGUAGAUAACCUUCUUAUCACACAGAAAAAUAUCAGUACAGACAAAUAGACUGCAAAGAAAAUGAGACCAUCAGCAAAGAAGAUAAAGAAGUUUGUACAAAGCAACUUUUUAUAAAUGGAUGGCUGUCAGGCAAAAAUAAAUUUCCUGUGGACAAGACCAAGAGCAAGGCAAGAGGAAAAUAAACAUGUUUAAACU
rnacentral:sRNA from 1 species